UGGGGAAUAUUGCACAAUGGGUGCAAGCCUGAUGCAGCCAUGCCGCGUGUGUGAAGAAGGCCUUCGGGUUGUAAAGCACUUUCAGCGGGGAGGAAGGCGAUAAGGUUAAUAACCUUGUCGAUUGACGUUACCCGCAGAAGAAGCACCGGCUAACUCCGUGCCAGCAGCCGCGGUAAUACGGAGGGUGCAAGCGUUAAUCGGAAUUACUGGGCGUAAAGCGCACGCAGGCGGUCUGUCAAGUCGGAUGUGAAAUCCCCGGGCUCAAUCUGGGAACUGCAUUCGAAACUGGCAGGCUAGAGUCUUGUAGAGGGGGGUAGAAUUCCAGGUGUAGCGGUGAAAUGCGUAGAGAUCUGGAAGAAUACCGGUGGCGAAGGCGGCCCCCUGGACAAAGACUGACGCUCAGGUGCGAAAGCGUGGGGAGCAAACAGG
rnacentral:rRNA from 1 species